AAGCAGAUGGGAAACAGGUUGGCUUGAUCAUAUAAAUGGGUCCUCACUCAAGUUAGAUGCAUCAGAAUGACUCCAAAAGCAGCAAUCUGAGAGAUGGGAUUUAGAGUGGAUGGGGGUCUGAAGAGGCAGUUCAUUUCACAAUGGGGAUAGCAGAAAUAGAGAGAAAAAAAGAUGGGAGUUCUCAAGGUAUAUACUCCCAUGGGCAGCAAAUCCCAAUCUGGAUUUAAAGGGUCUCAAGGAGGCUACUUCCAGAAGCUGAACUGAAGGAAAUCUUGCAGUACUCUUCUGGCUGUGGGUAGAAGCAUCUGCAUUCUAGAAGGGAAGUGAUGAUGGAUUGGAUCUGUGACAGAGAAGGGGCAAGAACUUCCUAGCUCAUGGAGUCUGAGAAAGAUAGUGCAGGCAGGUCAAAUCAUCGUGGUCACAAUUUGUAAGAAACCAGGCAGGCAAUGGACAAGUGCUUGGAAAAAAAAAUGUCAACCUUGGAGCCCUGGAAGGGUCACCACCACCAUGUGCAGAGCCAAUUAAUGGCUUCUCCUGAGGAUACAGACCUUCUCCAAGCAAAGCUCUCACAGAAAGUCACUGAUCCUGGAUGAGAGAAUUAAAACUGCUUAAAAAAAGAAAAGCUCAAUUUAAGUCCCAAAUUUCACAAAGUGCCAGAUAGGAGAACUCAGCUCAAAGCAUCCCAAACAGAACCAUCGGUUCAGCACCAUUCACCAUCUAGUCCCCGUUAAAUAAAAUGCGUGCCUUUCAUUUUA